UACGUAAGGGGCGAGCGUUGUUCGGAUUGACUGGGUGUAAAGGGUCAGCAGGCGGUCCCGUAAGUCGGGCGUGAAAUCCCGGGGCUUAACCCCGGAACUGCGCUCGAUACUGCGGAACUUGAGUAUCGGAGAGGUUAGCGGAAUUCCUGGUGUAGCGGUGAAAUGCGUAGAUAUCAGGAGGAACACCGGUGGCGAAGGCGGCUAACUGGCCGAAUACUGACGCUCAGGGACGAAGGUGCGGGUAG
rnacentral:rRNA from 1 species